UCACCAAGUGUUGGAUUG
rnacentral:snRNA from 1 species